GACGAACGCUGGCGGCGUGCCUAAUACAUGCAAGUCGAACGCUUUUUCUUUCACCGGAGCUUGCUCCACCGAAAGAAAAAGAGUGGCGAACGGGUGAGUAACACGUGGGUAACCUGCCCAUCAGAAGGGGAUAACACUUGGAAACAGGUGCUAAUACCGUAUAACACUAUUUUCCGCAUGGAAGAAAGUUGAAAGGCGCUUUUGCGUCACUGAUGGAUGGACCCGCGGUGCAUUAGCUAGUUGGUGAGGUAACGGCUCACCAAGGCAACGAUGCAUAGCCGACCUGAGAGGGUGAUCGGCCACACUGGGACUGAGACACGGCCCAGACUCCUACGGGAGGCAGCAGUAGGGAAUCUUCGGCAAUGGACGAAAGUCUGACCGAGCAACGCCGCGUGAGUGAAGAAGGUUUUCGGAUCGUAAAACUCUGUUGUUAGAGAAGAACAAGGAUGAGAGUAAAACGUUCAUCCCUUGACGGUAUCUAACCAGAAAGCCACGGCUAACUACGUGCCAGCCGCCGCCGUAA
rnacentral:rRNA from 1 species